GACGAACGCUGGCGGCGUGCUUAACACAUGCAAGUCGAACGGUAAGGCCCUUCGGGGUACACGAGUGGCGAACGGGUGAGUAACACGUGGGUGAUCUGCCCUGCACUUCGGGAUAAGCCUGGGAAACUGGGUCUAAUACCGGAUAGGACCACUGCCUGCAUGGGUGGUGGUGGAAAGCUUUUGCGGUGUGGGAUGGGCCCGCGGCCUAUCAGCUUGUUGGUGGGGUGAUGGCCUACCAAGGCGACGACGGGUAGCCGGCCGGAGAGGGUGACCGGGCAAACUGGGACUGAGAUACGGCGCAGACACAUACGGGAGGAAGGGGUGGGGAAUAUGGGACAAUGGGGGCAAGGCUGAUGCAGGGACGCCGCGUGAGGGAUGACGGCGUUCGGGUUGUAAACCUCUUUCAGCACCGACGAAGGGCAAGUGACGGUAGGUGCAGAAGAAGGACCGGCCAACUACGUGCCAGCAGCCGCCGUAACAC
rnacentral:rRNA from 1 species